UACGGGGGGAGCAAGCGUUGUUCGGAUUUACUGGGCGUAAAGGGCGCGUAGGCGGUCAGCACAAGUCAGUUGUGAAAUCUCCGGGCUUAACUCGGAAAGGUCAACUGAUACUGUGCGACUAGAGUGCAGAAGGGGCAACUGGAAUUCUCGGUGUAGCGGUGAAAUGCGUAGAUAUCCGGAGGAACACCAGUGGCGAAGGCGGCGAUCUGGGGAAGAUACUGACGCUGAGGUGCGAAAGCGUGGGGAGCAAACAGG
rnacentral:rRNA from 1 species